GGUUGUAUAAUUAGUGGCUUGUGAAGAAACGGGUUAACCCGUCCCGUCCCGUGCAACCCGCGGGUAACCCGGCUCGGUCCGCAACCACUGCCACUUAGGCUGCUGCGUGUCACACAAUGACACAGUUAUCUGUUACGUGUCAUGUAACAUGUUCGUUCCUCUUCAUAUAAAAGGAAAAAACCCUAGCUCGCCUUCCUUUUCUUUCUUCCUCUUUUUUUCUUCUUCCCUGACCCUGCUGCAGCGCUGCUGAGUCUCCUACUCUCCUGAGUAAACUUCACAGAUUCACAGAAGUGACAGAAAAAUUAUUAGAUUCAUCUAAAGAUCAAAGACAGUCUUGAAGAGAAAUACAAGAGCGGAUUGAUUUUCUGGGCUCGUGAAGAUCGGAGGAAUACAACAACGAAUUGAUUUUCUGGGUUCGUGAAGAGUGAAUUGAUUUUCUGUUCGAUUAAUAAUAUGUAAGAUGUUUCUUUUUCAUUCGAUUUGAGUUCAAUCUUCAGUUUGACUUGUAAUUUGACUUGUUCUUAGUAGAUCUAGUUGGUUUGAUUAAGGUUUUGAGAUGUAAUUUGGGUGGAUUUGUUUGAAUUUCACAUGUUUUAGUUUAUUGUAUGAUUGUAAUUGGUGAUGAUUAUAUAUACAAGUUCUGUUUGAUUU